CUUUACUGCAACUUGCCAGUGAGUUUCGGAUCGUUCUGCGUAGGAUAGGUGGGAGGCUUUGAAGCCGGGCCUCUGGGUUCGGUGGAGCCACCGUUGAAAUACCACCCUGGACGAUCUGGGAUUCUAACCUGCGCCCCUGACCGGGGUGGGGGACACUGGCUGGUGGGCAGUUUGACUGGGGCGGUCGCCUCCCAAACAGUAACGGAGGCGUGCGAAGGUUCCCUCAGCCUGAUUGGAAACCAGGCGUAGAGUGCAAACGCACAAGGGAGCUUAACUGCGAGACCGACAGGUCGAGCAGGUGCGAAAGCAGGCGUUAGUGAUCCGGUGGUUCCACAUGGAAGGGCCAUCGCUCAUCGGAUAAAAGGUG
rnacentral:rRNA from 1 species